UACGUAGGUGGCAAGCGUUACUCGGAAUCACUAGGCGUAAAGCGCAGGUAGGCGGUUCGGUAAGUCUUUUUGUGAAAGCUCCUGGCUCAACUGGGAGAGGUCAAGGGAAACUACUGGGCUAGAGUGUGGUAGGGGAUACUGGAAUUCCUGGUGUAGCGGUGAAAUGCGUAGAUAUCAGGAGGAACACCGAUGGCGAAGGCAGGUCUCUGGGCCAUUACUGACACUGAGAAGCGAAAAGCAUGGGGGAGCGAAACAGG
rnacentral:rRNA from 1 species